UAAGACGAACCGUGCGAACGUUAUUCGGAAUCAUUGGGCUUAAAGAGCACGUAGGCGGCGGCGUAAGUGGGGGGUGAAAGGCUAUCGGCUCAACCGUGGCAUUGCCUUCCAAACUGCGUCGCUCGAGGAAGGUAGGGGCAGGUGGAACUUCCAGUGGAGCGGUGAAAUGUGUUGAGAUUGGAAGGAACGCCAGUGGCGAAAGCGACCUGCUGGAUCUUUGCUGACGCUGAGGUGCGAAAGCUAGGGGAGCAAACGGGAUUAGAUACCCCGGUAGUCCUAGCCGUAAACGAUGGGUACUGGGUAGGAAGCGGUCCGAUGCCGCCUCCUGCCGAAGCGAAAGUGUUUAGUACCCCGCCUGGGGAGUAUGGCCGCAAGGCUG
rnacentral:rRNA from 1 species